rnacentral:rRNA from 1 species
AGUGAACGCUGGCGGCAGGCCUAACACAUGCAAGUCGAACGGCAGCACGGCAGUAGCAAUACUGUGGGUGGCGAGUGGCGGACGGGUGAGGAAUACAUCGGGAUCUACCCUGUUGUGGGGGAUAACGUAGGGAAACUUACGCUAAUACCGCAUAAGAACUGAGGUUGAAAGCAGGGGAUCGCAAGACCUUGCGCUGAUGGAUGAGCCGAAGUCGGAUUAGCUUGUUGGUGGGGUAAUGGCCUACCAAGGCGACGAUCCGUAGCUGGUCUGAGAGGACGACCAGCCACACUGGGACUGAGACACGGCCCAGACUCCUACGGGAGGCAGCAGUGGGGAAUAUUGGACAAUGGGGGCAACCCUGAUCCAGCGACGCCGCGUGUGUGAAGAAGGCCUGCGGGUUGUAAAGCACUUUUAGUGGGGAGGAAGGUCUGCGACCUAACACGUCGUGGAAUUGACUUAACCCACAGAAAAAGCACCGGCUAACUCUGUGCCAGCA